CACGUGAACCCCAAGCGUUAUCCGGAUUUAUUGGGCGUAAAGGGUACGUAGGCGGCGCUAUUAGUCUCUUGUCAAAGACCUCAGCUCAACUGAGGGAUGGCAAGGGAAACGGUAGCGCUCGAGGAUGCGAGAGGUGUACGGAACCCACGGUGUAGAGGUGAAAUUCGUUGAUAUCGUGGGGAACACCAAAGGCGAAGGCAGUACACUGGCGCAUUCCUGACGCUGAGGUACGAAAGCCAGGGGAGCGAAGAGG
rnacentral:misc_RNA from 1 species